rnacentral:rRNA from 1 species
UAGGGAAUCUUCCACAAUGGACGAAAGUCUGAUGGAGCAACGCCGCGUGAGUGAAGAAGGGUUUCGGCUCGUAAAACUCUGUUGUUAAAGAAGAACAUAUCUGAGAGUAACUGUUCAGGUAUUGACGGUAUUUAACCAGAAAGUCACGGCUAAAUACGUGCCAG